UGGGGAAUAUUGCACAAUGGGCGAAAGCCUGAUGCAGCAACGCCGCGUGAGUGAUGAAGGCCUUCGGGUUGUAAAGCUCUGUCUUUUGGGACGAUAAUGACGGUACCAAAGGAGGAAGCCACGGCUAACUACGUGCCAGCAGCCGCGGUAAUACGUAGGUGGCAAGCGUUGUCCGGAUUUACUGGGCGUAAAGGAUGCGUAGGCGGAUUUUUAAGUGAGAUGUGAAAAACCCUAAGCUUAACUUGGGGACUGCAUUUCAUACUGGAAAUCUAGAGUGCGGGAGAGGAGAAUGGAAUUCCUAGUGUAGCGGUGAAAUGCGUAGAGAUUAGGAAGAACACCAGUGGCGAAGGCGAUUCUCUGGACCGUAACUGACGCUGAGGCAUGAAAAGCGUGGGUAGCAAACAGGAUUAGAUACCCUGGUAGUCCACGCCGUAAAACGAUGAGUACUAGGUGUAGGAGGUAUCGACCCCUUCUGUGCCGCAGUUAACAC
rnacentral:rRNA from 1 species